rnacentral:rRNA from 1 species
AUUGAACGCUGGCGGCAUGCUUUACACAUGCGAGUCGAACGGCAGCGCGGGCUUCGGCCUGGCGGCGAGUGGCGAACGGGUGAGUAAUGCAUCGGAACGUGCCCAGUAGUGGGGGAUAGCCCGGCGAAAGCCGGAUUAAUACCGCAUACGACCUGAGGGUGAAAGCGGGGGACCGAAAGGCCUCGCGCUAUUGGAGCGGCCGAUGUCGGAUUAGCUAGUUGGUGGGGUAAAGGCUUACCAAGGCGGCGAUCCGUAGCUGGUCUGAGAGGACGACCAGCCACACUGGGACUGAGACACGGCCCAGACUCCUACGGGAGGCAGCAGUGGGGAAUUUUGGACAAUGGGGGCAACCCUGAUCCAGCCAUGCCGCGUGCGGGAAGAAGGCCUUCGGGUUGUAAACCGCUUUUGUUCGGGAAGAAAUCCUCUGGGCUAAUACCCCGGGGGGAUGACGGUACCGGAAGAAUAAGCACCGGCUAACUACGUG